UACGUAGGGGGCGAGCGUUGUCCGGAUUUAUUGGGCGUAAAGAGCUCGUAGGUCGGUUCCGCAAGUCGGAUAUGAAAUCUCCACGCUCAACGUGGAGGGGUUAUUCGAUACUGCGGUGACUAGAGUCCGGUAGGGGAGUGUGGAAUUCCCGGUGUAGCGGUGAAAUGCGCAGAGAUCGGGAGGAACACCCGUAGCGAAGGCGGCACUCUGGCCGUGACGUGACGCUGAGGAGCGAAAGCAUGGGGAGCGAACAGG
rnacentral:rRNA from 1 species